UUGACCUCGGAUCAGGUAGGGAUACCCGCUGAACUUAAGCAUAUCAAUAAGCGGAGGAAAAGAAACCAACAGGGAUUGCCCUAGUAACGGCGAGUGAAGCGGCAACAGCUCAAAUUUGAAAUCUGGCUCUUUCAGAGUCCGAGUUGUAAUUUGCAGAGGGCGCUUUGGCUUUGGCAGCGGUCCAAGUUCCUUGGAACAGGACGUCACAGAGGGUGAGAAUCCCGUACGUGGUCGCUAGCUAUUGCCGUGUAAAGCCCCUUCGACGAGUCGAGUUGUUUGGGAAUGCAGCUCUAAAUGGGAGGUAAAUUUCUUCUAAAGCUAAAUAUUGGCCAGAGACCGAUAGCGCACAAGUAGAGUGAUCGAAAGAUGAAAAGCACUUUGGAAAGAGAGUCAAACAGCACGUGAAAUUGUUGAAAGGGAAGCGCUUGCAGCCAGACUUGCUUGCAGUUGCUCAUCCGGGCUUUUGCCCGGUGCACUCUUCUGCAGGCAGGCCAGCAUCAGUUUGGGCGGUGGGAUAAAGGUCUCUGACACGUUCCUUCCUUCGGGUUGGCCAUAUAGGGGAGACGUCAUACCACCAGCCUGGAC
rnacentral:rRNA from 1 species